rnacentral:rRNA from 1 species
UGGGGAAUUUUUGACAAUGGGGGAAACCCUGAUCCAGCCAUCCCGCGUGUGCGAUGAAGGCCUUCGGGUUGUAAAGCACUUUUUGCAGGAAAGAAACGUCAUGGGUUAAUACCCCGUGAAACUGACGGUACCUGCAGAAUAAGCACCGGCUAACUACGUGCCAGCAGCCGCGUUAAUACGUAGGGUGCAAGCGUUAAUCGGAAUUACUGGGCGUAAAGCGUGCGCAGGCGGUUCGGAAAGAAAGAUGUGAAAUCCCAGAGCUCAACUUUGGAACUGCAUUUUUAACUACCGGGCUAGAGUGUGUCAGAGGGAGGUGGAAUUCCGCGUGUAGCAGUGAAAUGCGUAGAUAUGCGGAGGAACACCGAUGGCGAAGGCAGCCUCCUGGGAUAACACUGACGUUCAUGCACGAAAGCGUGGGGAGAAAACAGG